rnacentral:rRNA from 1 species
GACGAACGCUGGCGGCGUGCUUAACACAUGCAAGUCGAACGGUAAGGCCCUUCGGGGUACACGAGUGGCGAACGGGUGAGUAACACGUGGGUGAUCUGCCCUGCACUUCGGGAUAAGCCUGGGAAACUGGGUCUAAUACCGGAUAGGACCACUGCCUGCAUGGGUGGUGGUGGAAAGCUUUUGCGGUGUGGGAUGGGGCCGCGGGCUAUCAGGUUGUUGGUGGGGUGAUGGCCUACCAAGGCGACGACGGGUAGCCGGCCUGAGAGGGGGGCCGGCCACACUGGGACUGAGAUACGGCCCAGACUCCUACGGGAGGCAGCAGUGGGGAAUAUUGCACAAUGGGCGCAAGCCUGAUGCAGCGACGCCGCGUGAGGGAUGACGGCCUUCGGGUUGUAAACCUCUUUCAGCACCGACGAAGCGCAAGUGACGGUAGGUGCAGAAGAAGGACCGGCCAACUACGUGCCAGCAGCCGCGGUAAAAC